AUUGAACGCUGGCGGCAUGCCUUACACAUGCAAGUCGAACGGCAACGGGUCCUUCGGGAUGCCGACGAGUGGCGAACGGGUGAGUAAUAUAUCGGAACGUGCCCAGUAGUGGGGGAUAACUGCUCGAAAGAGCAGCUAAUACCGCAUACGACCUGAGGGUGAAAGGGGGGGAUCGCAAGACCUCUCGCUAUUGGAGCGGCCGAUAUCAGAUUAGCUAGUUGGUGGGGUAAAGGCCUACCAAGGCAACGAUCUGUAGUUGGUCUGAGAGGACGACCAACCACACUGGGACUGAGACCCGGCCCAGACUCCUACGGGAGGCAGCAGUGGGGAAUUUUGGACAAUGGGCGCAAGCCUGAUCCAGCAAUGCCGCGUGCAGGAAGAAGGCCUUCGGGUUGUAAACUGCUUUUGUCAGGGAAGAAAUCUUCUGGGCUAAUACCCCGGGAGGAUGACGGUACCUGAAGAAUAAGCACCGGCUAACUACGUGCCAGCCGCCGCCGUAA
rnacentral:rRNA from 1 species